rnacentral:rRNA from 1 species
AUGUGGUCAUGCCACCAGCGAGCCAAAGAUGCAGGAAGCACCGGCGGCGACCCGACAUACUUGCUCUUCCCCGUCGACCACCGCUCACGUAUGAAGCCCCCCGUCCCGGAUGAGUACCUCGGCAACUGCGUCGGCAUCGCCACGCAUGCCGCGCCCAUGGACCAGCUCGCAGCAGCCGGCGCCGGCGGCCUCUUCGUCGCGUGCACUGCGAUAGCUGCGGCGAUCAAGGAAGCGGUGCGCGGCAUUGGGUCACCUAAGACGAUUGCGUUGUGGAUGCACCUGGUCAGGGAGGCUGGCGUCGCCGGCAUGUGGACCGUGGCCGGGUCGCCGAGGUUCCGCGUGUACGAGGUGGACUUUGGGUUCGGGCGGCCGGCCAAGAUGAAGAACGUGUCCGUGGCGAGAACCGGCGCGAUGGCGGUGGCAGAGGGCCGGAGCAGCCGCGGCGGCAUCGAGGUGGGCAUCUCUCUGCCGGCUGCUGGCAUGCAGAGCUUCCAAAAGUGCUUCCAAGAUGCCAUUGACUGGCUUCACCAGUAA